CCUCUUCACCGCGACCGCGAUUUCAUCCUAUCCAUCUACCGCAAUGUUCGCCUGCGCUCUCGCCACCGCACGAAGACUCCGGCCUCCGCUCUAUUUGCUCCUCCUCGCUCCGCACAUCCUCCCUCCUCGCGUGUCCCCGCCGCCACCGCACUCCACCGCUGCCCCCACCGGAGCCUAGGUCUUCCGCCGCCGCCGCGCUCCACCGUUGCGCCCGCCGGAGCUGAGGUCGUCCCCAGCCGCUGCCGCUGCCAUGUGCAAUCAUCCCCGCAUUUCGAGGGAAAAUCCGCCGAUGAUACCGCGAGGUAGUGGUGGCCGAUGGGUAUGGGUGCCGCCGGCGCUGCCCGCAACCGAUGCGUCACCCUCCUCACUAUUGUCGUGCCACACAGAUCGAGGACUAAAGCACCACCAUGGCCGCCACCGCGCGCUCGAUCGAUCAUGCCAGCAACCCAAAAACUGACGCUGUCGCUCGCCACACCACCGACGCCGUCGCCUGCCGUUUGCUCCGCGGCUCUUCCCAUUCCUUGGAGGUCGCACGCCUAUGGCACCAUCGGUCACCGCCGCACAUACUCUUUGCCGCCCCUUCCUCUCCCUCCAUCACCCGCAGCGAGAAAACCUCCAUCCGCAGCAUGUACCGCUGUUUGCAGGUCUUCAACGGUACCAAUGAUUAUCCUACCCGACGCCCAGUAGACUACCCACUGGAAGAGCAGCAAACUGAUGAACAUCGUCUAGAAGACCAGGGAGAUAUACAUGUCCAUAAGCAUUGGACAAAAUGGAGACAAGAUUCAAAGGAAUCACGAGAGCAGGCAAUGAAGGAAUGAGGAAUCUAACUCUAAGAAAUAGACAGUUUCAACAUCUGUAAUUGGUAACCCCUUCCGAGUGUUUUUUAAAUUAAAAUAUGUAUGCCCAGCAGUAAUAUGCUGAAAUGAUAUUUGGGUGGUGCAGGAAAUGAAACUGUGCAAUCCAUAAUGUGUCUUGUAUUCAACAAUGCACAUCCAGCAUUAGUACCAUGCCUCUACAAAACAUAUAAUUUGAUCUGAUCGGAAAACUCAAAUAUAUUUAAAAAACCGAUAUAAUGUUUCAGCUCUUAAGAAUGGUGUUACUAAAAAUGCAACUAUGUCAAAUGUGUUUGCUCCAUCAGUAAUUCUGUAUAUAAUUGUUGUUCCUAAGUUUUACUGACUUAGGAGGCCGCUGGGAUUUUCUCCUCUGUGAAUGGCUAACCUCUGUAUAUAGCUAUGUAACUGUGUAAUGUUACUGCUAGAGGGGCUUUCUACUUGGUGUCCUAUUUGUCAGCAUAAUGUUGCUGACGUUGUAAUAUUUCCCCUUCUUGCUUAAUCAUGGUGGUAGACUCACGGAUUUAUUCUUCUGUUCCCUUUCUUCAUGCACCGCUCACUAAUUUUGCCUUGAAGCUUUGAUGUGCUAGGAGUCGCUAUAUUUUCUUUGUACACUCUAAAUCAGGUAAACCUAACCUUUUUCUCACUGUCAAAAUAUGAUUUUCAGGUAAACCUAACCUUUACCUUAAUACAAGUGUUCUUUGUUUUUAUUUUGAGGGAUUAAGUGAAUCUUGGUGAAAAAAAAAUGAAGGAUCUGGAUUUUUUUUGAAGGGUCAUUUGAUGAUCUAUGUUGUUCCACGGGUGAUUUUACUUCAUGCUUGAUUGUUAACUAUCCCUGCCAUAUCUAAUUAUCUAUGUCUAUGUAGAUGUGAUCUCAUUUUUUUUAUGCAUGAGCAUUAACGAGGUUUACUCUCUAUGUAGAUUAAGAAGUAUUAUUGUCUGAAAAUAUUUGGUAGUUGCCUGAAAUGUUUAGCUUGGUUAUGUUAAUAGGAUGUACAUAUGUACUUCUGUUAUCUGGAAAUUGCUUAUUGCGAUUAUGUCAUGCCGUGCACCAUGCCAAAGAUGUUCCUUUUUUUGCUGCAUAAGCUUAUGUCCUAAUUUAGGUUCUGAAAUUGUAGCUAGAAGUUUGAAGAAAUAGUAUUUUGUACAAAUAUAGCUGAUGAGCAAGUUAAAAGGCUACAGAACACUGUUAAUAUAUCAACUGAAGCAACAUGCUGUGCUAAUGGGCUUACUCAUUUUAUGUAGAUAGGCUAUUCUCUUAAGCAGGUUUGACUAUUUGGCUUUGCUCUUUUUUAUAUGCUUUCUUCCUUUAAUAGUUUAAUAUACCUCCUAUGUCCUAACAAUUCAGUUUCAGCUGUAAGUUAGUCCCCUUAGGCGUAUGUUCAGCAACAGUAUUUGUACAUAAUCGUUUGUUGAUAACAAUAAUUCUUGAAGUGUUGAUUUAUGAUUUCCUUGAAGUGUAAAGCAAGUCAGUAACACACGAAGAAAAUGUGUAUAACAAUUUAAUAUUGAUAACACUACAUUAUGUUUGACUAUGAGCGUAGUAGGCUGCAGAAGGAUUUUAUUUUGACAAUGUUGAACUCAAUAGUCGUUGGUUCUAGGUACAUUAAAGACUGAUGGAGGAAUAUUGAUGCAGUGCAAAUUUGAUCAAAAGUUGCCAUAUGUUUAUCUGGCAAAAAUGAUUUGCUGUCAAAGACAGGUGAUGUAAAGGCUAUUAGCUUCCUAAACAUAAGGGGGAAUUAUGCCUUUUCAUGUGCCCUGAGUGCUUGAUUAUUUACCAUGCAAAUCAUUGGGUGAAUAGCUAAUAUGGUCCCUGAAGUUUCGCUUUAAGCUCAGUUUAGUCCUUGAGGUUUCAAAUCGUCCAAACAAGUCCUCCAAAUUUAUCAUUUGGGUUAAUAUAGUUCUUGAACCCAUAAAGAAUACCACGUGAGCAUGCCAAGUCAUCGUCGCAUGCUGUAGUAUAAAUAAAAUGACAAUUUUACCCUUAUAUACCAUAUAGAAAAGAAAGAAAAGAUGCAAACAAAAAAAUAAUAGGCCAACCCAGGCCCAACAUUGUUGCGGAGGGUGGCCGACAAGAAUUUAUACGAUCAGUGCUUGGCUACAGCAAUCAUAAGUGACAAUUCUAAAACGAUCAUACAUGUGUGAAACAUUUGUUUUCUUUUAUAUAUGGUAUAUAAAGGUAGAAUGGUCAUUUCAUUCAUAUCGGUGCAUACGAGGAUGACUUGGCAUGCUCACAUGGCACUUUUUGUGGGUCCAAGGACUAUAUUAACCCAAAUAAUUAAUUUAGAGGAUUUGUUUGGACGAUUUGAAACCUCAAGGACUAAACUGAGCCCGAAGCGAAAUUUCAGGGACCAUAUUAGCUAUUCACCCCAAAUCAUUAGUCGACCAUGGGAUAUUUGUUUCGUUAUAAAUCCAUUGAAGUUCAUAUUUUGGCAAUUAACCAUAUUUUGACUAAACAGACAAUUGACAAGAAGAUCGGUGAGUUUUCUAACUGCCAUAUUGUUUAUUCUGGAAUCGAUUUCCAGAAGGUUAGUUUUCCCUUAUCAUUUUCUAAUCUGUUGCAUUUAAGUAAUAUCACUAUAAUAUUUGCAAUAGAUGAAUCUGCUGGUGGGUAAAAAAUGCUCUUAUCUUUGGUAGAAGGAGCAUUUUAGUUGAUAUCAUUGUGAAAUAUGCCUUGUGUAUGUCACAUGUUAUAAACAUGUAUACCUCUAUCAUGUGCCAAGAAUGCAUUACAAAAAUAUUGAUGUUUACUUGCAACUCUUUUUAAUGGAAUAACUACUUAUCAGGUCAGUAAAUUUUGAGGCAUACCUUUGUUCUAAUUAAUGAGGAAUACAUCCAAUGUGCAUAAUGUUAAGUAACGACGUCAUGUAGGGAAAUAUGGGUAUUUUAGUUUACUAAAAUCUGAAAAAGCAUACCUUUAAUUUGUGGUGCUUUAUGCAGAGACAAAUUAAGGUGCUAUAACCUCUUGCUCUGCAUCUUACUCCACCGCCAGGUCUGCUACCCUAUUGUUCCAGGGACAUAUUUGCUUGACACUUAACAGUAUAUAUAGAUGCAUGUUAAAUUAUUUUACCUUCAACAUAGAUUGGACAUGUGCACGCUACUCAUAUGUUUGUAUUAGAUGAUUUGCCAGGCCGAAACGUAUAAUACUAGCUGACCAUGUGUUUAUUAAAAUGCUUCAGAUAUAUCAUUAAUUUAUUUUCCAUCAUUUAGCUUCUUCUUUCAGUAAAUGUGAUCAUACCAAGAGAUAUCGAGAUCGUUUAAGCUGAAAAUCCCUUAUUAAAAAAUGAUCAUUGGUUUCAUCAUAUUUAUUUUAUUUCAAUGAUAUGUUUGCUUAUGUUUCAUUCAUGGAUUGGAAUUUGAUUUUCAAAACUAAUUGUUUUCAAGCUGAAGCCUUUAAUCAAUCAAGACGAUCUGGAUGAAUGAUCCCGCUUCAGUUUGGAGAUAUAUGAAAUAAUUGCAGAUUUAUAAUUAUACAUUCUUAUUACUUCUAAAACUUAGUAUUCUUUGUAAAUGGAGAUGACAACAAUGUUGUAUUUUUCUGAAUUCUUUGUUAUGGUUCUACUUGGUGAAUUUCUAUAUUUUCUUUAAUUUUCAUUUUGUAUGGAAAUAAAAAUGAGGCGUCUUCUCCA